UUUGUGGCCCUGCAAAUGUAGAUACUUUU
rnacentral:piRNA from 1 species